rnacentral:rRNA from 1 species
GCUCGUAGUUGGAUUUCUGGCAGGGAGUAGAUGCCCGUGUGAUACGUGCGCAGAUACCCCCUGCCAUCCUUCUGUUAACCCUCCAGAUCUUAACUGCUCUGUUGGGAGCCCAGAUAUUUUACCUUGAGAAAAUUAGAGUGUUUCAGGCAGGCUAGCGCCGGAACACAUUAGCAUGGAAUAAUAGAAUAGGACUUUAUACCUCUUCUGUUGGUCUGAGGGGAUGAAGUAAUGAUUAAUAGGGAUAGUUGGGGGCAUUAGUACUUUACUGUCAGAGGUGAAAUUCUCGGAUUUGUAAAAGACUAACUUAUGCGAAAGCAUUUGCCAAGGAUGUUUUCAUUAAUCAAGAACGAAAGUUAGGGGAUCAAAAGACGAUCAGAUACCGUCCCUAGUCUUAACCCAUAAACUAUGCCGACUCGGGGAUCGGGGGGCGAGAGUUAUCCGGCCUUCCGCACCGUAUGAGAAAAUCAAAGCUUUUGGUUCUGGGGGGAGUAUGGUCGCAAGGCUGAAACUUAAAGGAAUUGACGGAAGGGCACCACCAGGCGUGGAGCUUGCGGCUCAAUUUUGACUCAACACGGGGGAACUUAACAAGUCCAGACAUAGUGAGGAUUGGACAGAUUGAUAAGCUCUUUUCUUGAUCUAUGGGUGGUGGUGCAUGGGCCGUUCUUAAGUUGGUGGAGUGAUUUGUCUGGUUAAUUCCGUAACGAACGAGACCUUAGCCUACUAAAUAGUCGCUCCAAUCAUGAUUGGUAGCGACUUUCUUAGAGGGACUUUGUAAGCAAAUACAAAGAAGUUUGAGGCAAUAACAGGUCUGUGAUGCCUUAGAUGUCCUGGGC